GGAAAACCUCUAGGUCUGGUAAUAGGAAAGGCCCAGAGGUUUUCCUGGUUAGGCCACAUGGUGAGGUCAGGGAAAACCUCUAGGUCUGGUAAUGGGAAAGGCCCAGAGGUUUUCCUGGUUAGGCCACAUGGUGAGGUCAGGGAAAACCUCUAGGUCUGGUAAUAGGAAAGGCCCAGAGGUUUUCCUGGUUAGGCCACAUGGUGAGGUCAGGGAAAACCUCUAGGUCUGGUAAUAGGAAAGGUUGUCAUGCUGUCCUAAUAGUGAUCUGUUGUUAGUUUUAGACUGUAAAGGAGGGAGGAGGUGAUUGGUUCUUGUGUAGAACAUCAUAAUAUGGACCACUCCCUUCAGCAUGUAGGGAAGACAAGCUUUCAACAAAACCUUUUUUUUGGUCCUUCCUCCAUUUUUAAACUUUUGUCAUUGUAAUUUGUAAUGUGUUUUAUUACGACACCUUCGUUGAUGUUGACCUUUAUAAUAGUCUGACAUUGGGAAGGGCUCAAAUGACACCCUAUUUUCCAAAAUAGGGCAGUACUUUUAAAAGAAGUGCCUUAUAUGAGGGAAUAGGGUGUCAUCUGAGAUACAUUAUUUUUCUUCCUGUCAAAUUAUUUCUCCAAGAUGGGAUUAUUGUUGUUGUUAUUAUUACGAUGGACAGUUUAAAAAGAUUGUUUGCAAAGAAUGAUGGGAGAUUUUAGUUUCGUGACCUCAGCGACCAUGUCAGGAGAAGGGCCCCAUUGGGGGCGUCCCUGAUGUUGCCUGAGGAUGUUAUAGUGCGUCCCAAAUGGCACCCUAUUCCUUAUAUAGUACACUACUUUUGAACAGGGUGCCAUUUUUGGACGCACACCGUGUGGAUAAGGGAAUAGUAAUGAUGGUCAACACAAAAUGUAAACACUAUGGCUGCGUCCCAAAUGGCACCCUAUUCCCUAUCUAGUGCAUUUCCAAUGGGCCCUGGUCAAAAGUAGUGCACUACAUAGGGAAUAGGGUGCCAUUUGGGAUGCAUCCUAUUUUCCUUUGGUUGUAGCUGCUGCUGGGUAAUUUAAACAAGGAGUGUGUGAUCGAGCGAGCGCAAGAGUGUGUUCUUGGAAAAAGAAAUAAGCCGAAACAUGUUUUUAAAUUAUUGAUUGUACAGUUUUAGGCUAGGGGAUGAAAAGCAGACUUUUUUUCACAAUAAAACUGUUCUUAACGUUA